UCUUACCUACGGGAGGCAGCAGUGGGGAAUAUUGCGCAAUGGGGGGAACCCUGACGCAGCAACGCCGCGUGCAGGAAGAAGGUCUUCGGAUUGUAAACUGUUGUCGCAAGGGAAGAAGACAGUGACGGUACCUUGUGAGAAAGUCACGGCUAACUACGUGCUAGCAGCCGCGGUAAUACGUAGGUGACAAGCGUUGUCCGGAUUUACUGGGUGUAAAGGGCGCGUAGGCGGGAUAGCAAGUCAGUCGUGAAAUGCCGAGGCUUAACCUCGGAGCUGCGAUUGAAACUGUUAUUCUUGAGUAUCGG
rnacentral:rRNA from 1 species